GGGAUGAGCAGGGCUCACAGGUGAAUCAUGGAAUAAAUGAAAAUCAGAAGCCCCCGAACAAGGUAGAAGGCUUAGUGAGCCCAGCCCUAAGCAGCUAUAGCCCUUGGGACUUUUCGUUUCCCUGAACACACGAUCCUGUGGUGAUGGACAGUCAGGAUUCCCCAGGGGGUUACUGGACCCUAAGACACCUUCCCAGUUGAGGAUCUUAGUUUCCUGACCUGGGAUCAAAUCCUACAUUGGCAGCUCGUAGUCGUAGCCAUGGGACUGCUAGGGAAGUUCCCAAGACUUGCUAUUUCAUGCAUUUGUUGCUGUGUGACCGGCUACCUCAAAACGUACAGGCUUCCCCUGAUUCAUCAGAUGAUUGCCAGAAUGAUGAUGCAAUGACUCUCAGCCCUCAACACGCUGGAAUCUCCUGGGGGAAUUUGGAAAAACCCGUGUCCAACCCCACCCUUCACCUGGUAGAUUCAAAUCAAAUCACUGGGCUGGGUCCCUAUAUCCAUGGGGCUUCAAGUUCCUCCAGGUGAUUCAAAUAUGCACCCAGGUUUGAUAACCUCCCUUUCUAGAAGCUGCUCUGCCGUGAGCGUGGGGGACGGAUCUGUCUUCCUUGCCCUACCCCCUGUCUGUCAGGUGCUGGUGGCUGAUAAAACACUCGCUUAAUGGAUGAUGAGACCCACCCUUGACCCACCACACUCGGAAUGGCCUCAGCUGUCCCAUUCCCCCAGCCCCACCUCUCUACUCACCGCCCAGCCACAGUGCCCUGAAAGGGCCAAGCUUUCCACAAGCCUCCUCCACGUGUGAUUCCCAGAUCCUACCAUCCUCCAGGGCUCUGCUGAAAUGCCCUGUCCUCAGGGAAAUUGUCCCUGAUGCCCACUGGCCUCAAUCCUCCUGCCCCCAGCUCCCAUCCCUGCCUUGACAUCUUCCUUGGUACCUCUCAUCACGCAAGUCACCUACGUCUCUCCUUCCAAGAGGAAGAGUCUUUGCUUUUUGGUACCAAAUCCCCAGGGCCUGGCACAAAACUUGUCACAGAGCUGGAGCCGGCAGAGUAAGUCUGUUGGUUAAGUGAUUUUGGUAUCCAGGUAUUUUUGACCCUUCAGGAGACUUUAUCCUGGGCCCAGAGGACUCUAAGAGGCCCUAAAUUUGAGGGGAUGGUGAGUUGAUGGGAUUCAAACCUUGAUCAGGGAACAAGAUCCCAUGUGCUGCAACUGAAGAUCCUGCAUGCCACAACUAAGACUCGGUGCAACCAGAAAAAAAAAGCAGCAAAACCUGGAUACAUAGAUGAAGACGGUCACAUGACAACAAAGGGAGAUUGGAGUGAUGUAGCCACAAGCCGAGGAGCACCAGGGACUGCUGGUAACCAUCAGCCAGGAGAGGCAUGGAGUAGACCCUCAGCUGGAGCCUCCAGGGGUGGCACAUUGGUCAAGAACCCGCCUGCCAGUGAAGGAGGUGCAAGAGACGUGGGGUCAGUCUCUGGGUCGUGAAGAUCUCCUGGUGAACAUGGCAACUCACUCCAGUAUUCUUGCCUGGGAAAUCCCAUGGACAGAAGAGCCUGGCAGGCUACAGUCCAUAGAGUCACAAAGAGUUGGACAUGACUGAGUACACAGUGGAGGCUCUAGAAGGAACUAAUCUUGCUGAUACCUUAACCUCAGACUUCUGGCCUCUGGAACUGAGAAAAUUAAUUUCUGUUGUUUUAAACCCCUCCACUGGCUUGUGGUAUAUUUUUACAGCCACGCUGGAAAACUAAUUUUAUAGAGGAGACAUUCUGAUUAGGAGCCUUUGGGGGAAGAGGAGUUUUGCCUCCCAAAUCCAGAUUCUGAUUCUGCAAGUACGUACCGGAUCCCAUCCGGUGACUUGACUCCUGGGGUAGGAACUGUUAACUUCCCUUGUUUUAUAGAUGAGGCAACUGAAACUCAGAUAACUUGCUCAGUCACAUGGAAGUCAGAGAGUGGAGGUCUGAUUUCAAGUGUAAGAAUUUUUCCAUGAACACAGAGUUGGUGCUUAAUGGCCUAAUUCUUGUGAAACAUCAGCACGUUGAAAGUUUAAUACUGGGGUUCUCAGUGACACCCCCUGUCCCUACCCUGGAUCUCAAGACCUCACUGUGCUUUCCUCUGCUUCCUUGACAACACUGAGUUCACGUUUUCAGGACUUCAGGUCUCAACACACACCCCAGGGUGCAAGGGGGUUAGAGAUUCUGUAAAGGCCGGCAGUUGCUUCUGGAUGGCUGGGGUAGAGGGCAGAACCAGUCUCAAAAAAAAGUAAUGGCACACCAAGAAGGAAGCUGUUUCUGCAACUGGGGUGUGGGUCCAGUGCUCGGGAAUUGGAGACACCUGGCUGGCAGGAGAGGGCUCCUCAAAGGAGUUGGGAAUCGAGUUGCCAGAUAGAACAGGAGGCCCAGUUAUAUUUGAAUUUCAGAUAAACGAUGAAUAACAGUAUUGCUUGGGACAUACUUAUACUGAAAAAUUAUCUCAAAUUCAGAUUUAACUGGGUGUUCUGUAUUUUGACUUGUAGUCUGGCAACCCUAGUUAGGAAGGGAAAGGCAGGUUAGCAGGAUGGAGGGGAGGAAAGGUCUAGAACACACGACUUCCAGUGCUGGAAGAUGACUUUGCCGUGAGCCCAGGAGGCUGUGUGAAUGCACUGAAUGGGGCACCGUCCACCCACCCGGGCAGACCCAUGGCACCAGGGUCUGUGUGGGGGCCUGGGCCAACAACUUACCUCCAGAGGCUGGGCGCCUGUGAACCCCGUCAACACUCGGAAUCGCAUAACAACCAGGAGCAGACAAGGAGAGGGCGGGACUCUGGCCGUUCACCUCCAAGGCUUGGCAGGACUCAGCCAGGCUCAAGUGGAGGAUGUGGGCCUGGGACCCAGGGGAGGAACAGGAGGGGACACAGGCGGGAGCUGGCACCAGGACCCAGCUAGUGACCAGAGCAAGUUGAAACCCUGGGAGGCCCCAGCUGAGAAAGCGAACAUGGCUGCCCAGAGGACAGUUUUCAAACAUCACCAGGGAUGAUGAUGGGACCCUCAUCUCCUCUCCCAGGGACAGCAGGCUCACAGGAGGGUCUGCAGGGUGAGGCCCUGCCCUGGAGACUGUUACCUGGUGAGGCCCGCUCUUCCUAUGAGAGGUUGGCCCCAGAAGUUCCGAGACCAGGCCUCCCCUCUUUCACCCUCCCUCCCCCAGCACAGAGACACCAUCAAGUCAGGCAAGAAAAGCAAAGUGUUUAUUUACAUCUUGGUCUGUACACGAGAGUUCCCCAGGGAGCCUGCCUCUGCAAGCCUGCUCCUUUUUGGCCCGGGAGCAGGCGGGAGGCAGAGGGCUCGGGACCCUAGGACUCAGCCUUGGAGCCUCAACCCCCUCUCCCCAAGCUGGGGCCUGGAUGUGGAGGUCUCGCCCCAGCCCCAGAGCUAAGCCUGCUUCUGGAUGGAGGCUCCAGGGGCAGAAGACUCGGGUGAAAUCCCACGAUGCGUCAGAGGCACCUGACGACCUCCUGGAUGAGCCUUUGCAUGCAGCUCAUCCCUCUCAGCUCUGGAGACCCAGCGGAGAAAGUGGAAGGAGCUGGGCGCCUCAGUGAUGCGAGGUCCUGACAUCACGGGGGAUUUAACGGCACCCGGGUCUGAGCACCUUGGGCGGAAGAGCUCGGCGGUUGUUAAUGGCAGGUGUUGGGGGGACGCAGCCUGAAGCCUCUUCCUUCUGCCCGCUUGGGGUCUGAAGCUGUUCAGACAGCAGAUGGCGAUGGCCCUGAACCCAGGCCCGGCGUCAAGCCCUGGGAGCCACGCAGCUGGAGCUUCUUCUGGGGGCCCCGGGUGCAUCCUCCCAGGGGCCCACAGAGUGGCUGCAGACCCAUGACAAUCACUGCCAGGCCAAUGCUCCAAGUGAGAAAG
ensembl:lncRNA